UACGGAGGGUGCAAACGUUGCUCGGAAUCAUUGGGCGUAAAGCGCACGUAGGCGGCCUGUUAAGUCGGAUGUGAAAGCCCCGGGCUCAACCCGGGAAGUGCAUUCGAAACUGGCGGGCUUGAAUAUGGAAGAGGGUCGCGGAAUUCCCGGUGUAGAGGUGAAAUUCGUAGAUAUCGGGAGGAACACCAGUGGCGAAGGCGGCGACCUGGGCCAAUAUUGACGCUGAGGAACGAAAGCUAGGGGAGCAAACAGG
rnacentral:rRNA from 1 species